rnacentral:rRNA from 1 species
GAGUUUGAUCGUGGCUCAGAAUGAACGUUGGCGGCGUGGAUUAGGCAUGCAAGUCGAGCGAGAAGUUUUCCUUCGGGAAAACGGAAAGCGGCGAAAGGGGAGAGUAACGCGUGGAUCACCUGCCCCCGGAUUCGGGAUAGCCACGGGAAACUGUGGGUAAUACCGAAUAAUGUCUAAGGACUAAAGGUGCGAUUCCGUCCGGGGAUGGGUCCGCGUCCUAUUAGCUUAUUGGUAGGGUAACGGCCUACCAAGGCUACGAUGGGUACUGGGUGUGAGAGCAUGACCCAGCUCACUGGGACUGAGACACUGCCCAGACACCUACGGGUGGCUGCAGUCGAGAAUCUUCGGCAAUGGGCGAAAGCCUGACCGAGCGACGCCGCGUGCGGGAUGAAGGCCCUCGGGUUGUAAACCGCUGUCAGA